rnacentral:rRNA from 1 species
CCUACGUGUGGCUGCAGUGGGGAAUAUUGGACAAUGGGGGCAACCCUGAUCCAGCCAUGCCGCGUGUGUGAAGAAGGCCUUCGGGUUGUAAAGCACUUUUGUUGGGGAAGAAACCGGCCGGGUUAAUACCCUGGUUGAAUGACGGUACCCAAAGAAUAAGCACCGGCUAACUUCGUGCCAGCAGCCGCGGUAAUACGAAGGGUGCAAGCGUUACUUGGAAUUACUGGGGGCGGUGCGUUAGGAGGCGGGUGAAAGCCCUGGGCUCAACCUGGGAACUGCAGUGGAUACUGGCGAGCUAGAGUGUGUCAGAGGAUGGUGGAAUUCCCGGUGUAGCGGUGAAAUGCGUAGAGAUCGGGAGGAACACCAGUGGCGAAGGCGGCCAUCUGGGACAACACUGACGCUGAGGCACGAAAGCGUGGGGAGCAAACAGGAUUAGAUACCCCAGUAGUC